rnacentral:lncRNA from 1 species
AGCAAUUCUUAUUUUCAGAACCCCUAGAGCAAUCAACAGACAGACAGAGCCCUGCUUCAUGGAGCGUCUGCUCUCUCCUGGAGCUCACACGCUGAAACAGACAGGAUGCAACACCUCAGGGUUGUUGGAGAACCAGAGGCUGUUGCAAUUAGGAUGGCGAAUAGUGAAAAACAGUGUGGUUGAAUUGAACAUAAGCUGAAGGGCUAGACAUCAUGGCUUCAAUCCUUGUGGAGAAUGACUUGUGAAUUGCCACCUCCUGCAAAUCCUGUGGCCUAUGAUCUGGACCAAAUCACAUCCAAGUGUCUGAUCAGUUCUGAGAGUGGUUGUGGAUGACCUUAGUAUUCCAGAAGACUGGUUCUGAAUGCACACUAGUGCAUCCACAAUGGGACAUCCAUGUGUAAAAAGGAGUGAGGAGCUGGGAUUCUUCAGUGGCCUCCAGCUUUCAUUCCAUACAGGAAUGGUCUCGUUCAUAUGCCUCUGAGAGAGUCAGCUUAGAGACAGGCAAGUCUGGGUUCAAAUCCUGGGUCCAUCCCUAGAUGGUUGAGUGUGGUUCCUUUAUCCUAUAUAACAGGGCCAAUACAUACUUCACUUGGCCUUUGUGAGGACUGGGGGACUGUCCACCUAAGG